rfam:Clostridium baratii str. Sullivan, complete genome.
AAAAAAUGAAAUAAUGUUCCGUAGACAGUAGGUGCGGUUUCGCGUAACGUAUAACUACCUACCGAGGGGUUCUGUAAAUAUAUGAUUUUUAUAGGUCUUCCUCUGUCUACGGGAAGACCUUUUAUAAUACGAAA